rnacentral:rRNA from 1 species
GAUGAACGCUGGCGGCGUGCCUAAUACAUGCAAGUCGAGCGAACAGACGAGAAGCUUGCUUCUCGGAUGUUAGCGGCGGAGGGGUGAGUAAUAAGACGAUAACCUCCCGAUAAGACUGGCAUAACUUCGGGAAACCGGAGCUAAUACCGGGUGAUAUUUUGAGUCUCUUGCUUCAAAAGUGAAAGACGGUCUUGCUUUCACUUAUGGAUGGAUCCGCGCUGCAUUAGCUGGUUGGUAAGGUAACGGCUUACCAAGGCAACGAUGCAUAGCCGACCUGAGAGGGUGAUUGGCGACACUGGGACGUAUGCACGGUCGAGACGCCUACGGGAGGCAGCAGUAGGGAAGCUUCCGGAAUGGGGGGAAGAAUGACGGAGCAACGCCGCGGGAGGGGUGAAGGUCUUCGGAUCGUAAAAAUCUGUUAUUAGGGAAGAACAUAUGUGUAAGUAACUGUGCACAUCUUGACGGUACCUAAUCAGAAAGCCACGGCUAACUACGUG